AGUCCAAGACGAGAAUUAUUUUUCAAAAAAAAUCCAGCCUUAAAAUAUAGAUGCAAAUCACAGCAAAGCCAAAGCUAUACUGUGCUCAAUGUGACGAAAAAGCAAUAUAAAUCCAGC
rnacentral:sRNA from 1 species